CGUCGUCAGCUCGUGUCGUGAGAUGUUGGGUUAAGUCCCGCAACGAGCGCAACCCUUGUCAUUAGUUGCUACGAAAGGGCACUCUAAUGAGACUGCCGGUGACAAACCGGAGGAAGGUGGGGAUGACGUCAGGUCAUCAUGGCCCUUAUGGGUAGGGCUACACACGUCAUACAAUGGCCGGGACAGAGGGCUGCCAACCCGCGAGGGGGAGCUAAUCCCAGAAACCCGGUCGUAGUCCGGAUCGUAGUCUGCAACUCGACUGCGUGAAGUCGGAAUCGCUAGUAAUCGCGGAUCAGCUUGCCGCGGUGAAUACGUUCCCGGGUCUUGUACACACCGCCCGUCACACCAUGGGAGCGGGUUCUGCCAGAAGUAGUUAGCCUAACCGCAAGGAGGGCGAUUACCACGGCAGGGUUCGUGACUGGGGUGAAGUCGUAACAAGGUAGCCGUAUCGGAAGGUGCGGCUGGAUCACCUCCUU
rnacentral:rRNA from 1 species